rnacentral:misc_RNA from 1 species
AAGUCGUAACAAGGUUUCCGUAGGUGAACCUGCGGAAGGAUCAUUAACAAAAAUCGCAAAGAUUUUUUGAUUCAACCUGUGAACUUUUUUUUUUUUUUAUAUAAUCAUCACAUCCUCUUUUUUUUUUUAAUAAAUUUUUUUUAGUUUAAUAUAUAAAUUAAUUAUAUAUAAAACUUUCAGCAACGGAUCUCUAGGCUCUU